GCCCUCGUGGAUGAAAUGGUACAUCACCCGUUCAGUAUUGUGCGGCUCUUAAAGUAGAUGCAAAUGGGAGGCGGGGGUUCGAGUCCCCCCGAGGGCA